UAAUCAUUGAUCCUCGCUAUCAUCUGGUA
rnacentral:sRNA from 1 species